GUGGGCUACUGCGUGAGGGCAUUCGGGCUCGACCUCCACCCUUUGUGAACACAACUUGUUGCUUCGGGGGCGACCCUGCCGUUUCGACGGCGAGCGCCCCCGGAGACCAUCAAACACUGCAUCUUUGCGUCGGAGUUUAAGUAAAUUAAACAAAACUUUCAACAACGGAUCUCUUGGUUCUGGCAUCGAUGAAGAACGCAGCGAAAUGCGAUAAGUAAUGUGAAUUGCAGAAUUCAGUGAAUCAUCGAAUCUUUGAACGCACAUUGCGCCCUUUGGUAUUCCGAAGGGCAUGCCUGUUCGAGCGUCAUUUCACCACUCAAGCCUGGCUUGGUAUUGGGCGCCGCGGUCAAUCCGCGCGCCUCAAAGUCUCCGGCUGAGCUGUCCGUCUCUAAGCGUUGUGAUUUCAUUAAUCGCUUCGGAGUGCGGGCGGCCGCGGCCGUUAAAUCUUUCACAAGGUUGACCUCGGAUCAGGUAGGGAUACCCGCUGAACUUAAGCAUAUCAAUAAGCGGAGGAA
rnacentral:rRNA from 1 species